rnacentral:snRNA from 1 species
AACGCGGGUGCGACCUACCAGCG